rnacentral:lncRNA from 1 species
GAUCGACCAGAUCAGGUGUUGAUGUGGGCGAGAGGGUCUGUUUGUGUGUUUCCACAGGACCAGACGGAACCUCUUUGGGUGCCGGAGAGAUUGGUGAGACGCUGCAAGAAUGAGGCUCCUGAUCCAGUUGCCCCUGUGGAUGUGGUGGAUGAUCCCACAAGCACAAAGGAUGGAGCCGAGAUGAGAGAUCCUUUCGGUAUUCCAGAAGCCGAUACCAGCUCGACAUGA